CGAGCGCAACCCUCGUCCUAUGUUGCCAGCGGGUCAUGCCGGGACUCAUGGGAGACUGCCGGGGUCAACUCGGAGAAGUGGGGAUAACGUCAAAUCAUCAUGCCCCUUAUGUCUUGGGCUUCACGCAUGCUACAAUGGCCGGUACAAAGGGCUGCGAUACCGCGAGGUGGAGCGAAUCCCAAGAAAGCCGGUCUCAGUUCGGAUUGGGGUCUGCAACUCGACCCCAUGAAGUCGGAGUCGCUAGUAAUCGCAGAUCAGCAACGCUGCGGUGAAUACGUUCCCGGGCCUU
rnacentral:rRNA from 1 species